rnacentral:piRNA from 2 species
CCCAGUGUUUAGACUACCUGUUCA